ensembl:snoRNA SNORA52 small nucleolar RNA, H/ACA box 52
UGGUCCAUUCUAAUACCUGCUGGUCAGGCCAUGGCCUGCCAGGUUUCGCUUGUGGACUAUAGCACUCGAGGAGCUUGACCUGAAGGAAUGAGCGAGGCCCCUGUGGGCUCGUGCUAGAGGUGCUUCUGGACACUC